rnacentral:tRNA from 1 species
GAGGGUGUAGCUCAAGUGGUAGAGCGCAUGCUCAGUAUUCAUGAGGUUCUGGGUUCAAUCCUCAGUACCACCA